CCUGGCGGCCAUAGCGCCGUGGAACCACCUGAUCCCAUGCCGAACUCAGAAGUGAAACGCGGUAGCGCCGAUGGUAGUG
rnacentral:rRNA from 1 species